UACGUAGGGUGCGAGCGUUGUCCGGAAUUACUGGGCGUAAAGAGCUCGUAGGUGGUUUGUCGCGUUGUUCGUGAAAACUCACAACUCAAUUGUGGGCGUGCGGGCGAUACGGGCAGACUUGAGUACUGCAGGGGAGACUGGAAUUCCUGGUGUAGCGGUGGAAUGCGCAGAUAUCAGGAGGAACACCGGUGGCGAAGGCGGGUCUCUGGGCAGUAACUGACGCUGAGGAGCGAAAGCGUGGGGAGCGAACAGG
rnacentral:rRNA from 1 species